rnacentral:rRNA from 1 species
GGUGUGGGUCCAUUCCACGGGGUCCGUGCCGCAGCUAACGCAUUAAGCGCCCCGCCUGGGGAGUACGGCCGCAAGGCUAAAACUCAAAGGAAUUGACGGGGGCCCGCACAAGCGGCGGAGCAUGCGGAUUAAUUCGAUGCAACGCGAAGAACCUUACCAAGGCUUGACAUACACCGGAAACUUCCAGAGAUGGGAGCCCCCUUUGUGGCUGGUGUACAGGUGGUGCAUGGUUGUCGUCAGCUCGUGUCGUGAGAUGUUGGGUUAAGUCCCGCAACGAGCGCAACCCUCGUUCUAUGUUGCCAGCGGUUCGGCCGGGGACUCAUAGGAGACUGCCGGGGUCAACUCGGAGGAAGGUGGGGAUGACGUCAAAUCAUCAUGCCCCUUACGUCUUGGGCUUCACGCAUGCUACAAUGGCCGGUACAAAGGGCUGCGAUCCCGUGAGGGGGAGCGAAUCCCAGAAAGCCGGUCUCAGUUCGGAUUGGGGUCUGCAACUCGACCCCAUGAAGUCGGAGUCGCUAGUAAUCGCAGAUCAGCAACGCUGCGGUGAAUACGUUCCCGGGCCUUGUACACACCGCC